AUCGCUUCUCGGCCUUUUGGCUAAGAUCAAGUGUAAAAUCAACUUCCCAAUCAAGUUGAAUCUAUCUGCACACUCUGUCUUUCAUUAAUCUGUUUGUCUGUCUCUACAUCAAUAACCACCCUGCUUGAUUAUCUGGGCUCUCUAAGAACUACUCAGAUCAGCUAUGGAGAGCCCUUUUGAU
rnacentral:snRNA from 1 species